rnacentral:rRNA from 1 species
CAGUCGCCGCGGGAAUACGAAGGUCCCGAGCGUUGUUCGGAAUCACUGGGCGUAAAGGGAGCGUAGGCGGCGUGGUAAGUCAGAUGUGAAAUCCCGGGGCUCAACCCCGGAACUGCACCCGAUACUGCCAUGCUAGAGGAUUGGAGAGGUAGCUGGAAUUCUUGGUGUAGCAGCGAAAUGUGUGGAGAUCAAGAGGAACACUCGUGGCGAAAGCGAGCUACUGGACAAUAACUGACGCUGAGGCUCGAAGGCCAGGGUAGCGAAAGGGAUUAGAGACCCCCGUAGUCCCUGUCUCUUAUAC